UACGUAGGGUGCGAGCGUUUAAUCGGAAUUACUGGGCGUAAAGCGUGCGCAGGCGGCGCGUUAAGACAGGUGUGAAAGCCCCGAGCUUAACUUGGGAAUUGCGCUUGUGACUGGCGUGCUGGAGUGUGGCAGAGGGAGGUGGAAUUCCACGUGUAGCAGUGAAAUGCGUAGAGAUGUGGAGGAACACCGAUGGCGAAGGCAGCCCCCUGGGUCAACACUGACGCUCGAUGCACGAAAGCGUGGGGAGCAAACAGG
rnacentral:rRNA from 1 species